AUUGAACGCUGGCGGCAUGCCUUACACAUGCAAGUCGAACGGUAACGGGCCUUCGGGUGCCGACGAGUGGCGAACGGGUGAGUAAUACAUCGGAACGUGCCCGAUCGGGGGGGAUAACGAGGCGAAAGCUUUGCUAAUACCGCAUACGAUCUACGGAUGAAAGCAGGGGACCGCAAGGCCUUGCGCGGACGGAGCGGCCGAUGGCAGAUUAGGUAGUUGGUGGGAUAAAAGCUUACCAAGCCGACGAUCUGUAGCUGGUCUGAGAGGAUGAUCAGCCACACUGGGACUGAGACACGGCCCAGACUCCUACGGGAGGCAGCAGUGGGGAAUUUUGGACAAUGGGCGCAAGCCUGAUCCAGCCAUGCCGCGUGCAGGAUGAAGGCCUUCGGGUUGUAAACUGCUUUUGUACGGAACGAAAAGCCUUCUUUUAAUACAGGAGGGUCAUGACGGUACCGGAAGAAUAAGCACCGGCUAACUACGUG
rnacentral:rRNA from 1 species